GAGGACAGGCGCGGGGCCACCGGUCGAGCGCGCGUCGGGGCGGCGGCGGCGGCUUGGCCGUGGUGGCAGUGGCAGAUUUCCAACCGCCUCCGCGUCUCCGCUCACAUGCGAAGCCAUUGCUAUUCACCUCCGGACGGGCGAGGAAGAACGCGGCGUUGGAUUUUCGCAGGAGGAUAUGCCCAGUGAAAGAACUGCCUUCUCUCACCUGUCAAAAAAAAAAAGAACUGCCUUCUCUCGGCGAAUCCAACAAAUUUCUGCAGUGAAAUUGAUAAGUGGAAGGUGCAUGGACUUAUUGAUGGCAGUCCAUUGCGCACGAGAUGAUCCUUCCGGUGUGUAUAUAUUAUUCAUUUCUCCAGAUAAGCCAAUCUGCACAAAGCUCAUUAUUCAGAGAAUGUGAUUUGUGAUCUCCCUGUUGUAUGCUCACUUUACGAACUCCAAAAAUUCUUCGCUCCAUGUACGCUCCAGAGUCCUUUACUUGUUAGAGUAAAACUCAGUCCAUUGCAAAUAGUAGUUGAGAGAUGUUCAAAAAAUCGAUGUCCAAUGUGUGUGGUGUUGUUUAUUGCCAGAGGAAUCGGUUCUUUGAAUAUUUUCCAGGUCUGCAAUGGCUGAAGAACUGAGGGUAGUUGGCUCACCUUGGCUGUUUCAAAUACUACCCUCCUGCAACUUGAGAGGAUACUUAUUGAUUUAGGAGCUAGCUGGAAUGAUGCUUCACCAAAUUGGAUAUUUGAUGUUUUAUGCUUGUCCAAGUUCACUAGGAAAGCCACACAGUUGGACUCAGUUUCAAAAACAUGUCCCUGUAGUAUGCCAAAAGUUAACCGCAUAAUUUUACUGAAAAAAAAGUAUACCUAGUUUCCUUUCACUCUGCACACAAAUUCACCUCUUGUUGCUCACCAAAUGAGUAAGUAGAAUAUGAUCCUGAAAGUAGUGGUUCUUCAGAUUGCUUUACUGCAGCAUGCAAUUCUCUCAGAUGAGACCAUGUUGAUUGCCAUAUUAAACCUGGAUGUAUGCUUGGUAGUUCAAACAUCAAUAUGUAUAUAUUUAAUCAAUUAUCGUGUUCUCCAAAAUUAGUGUUUUCAAGAUCUUCCAUUGAUGUAGAUUUCACAGAUCAUCAGUUUCUAACUAGACAUGUUACAUGGUUUGAUUUUAUGUGCCUUCCUGGUGGAGUAUGCUCAUGUUAUAAUAUUUAAUUU